UCUGUUUCUUUAAUUUAUUUGUUUACCUUUUCUGGGUCGGUAUAUUAUAUCAGACGUACACACAUAUUUCAACAAAAAAAUAAAUAAAUAAAUGAAUGAAAACCGAUGCGGGUCAUUAUCAAUCACUUCUUACUAAACUUGUCAAUGAUAUUGUUGGCCACAAUAUAUGUAUAUUAAGUUACUUUAACGCUAAAUUUUGGCCUGCAGCUGGUAGUACAUAAGCCGUAUUCUUAUUGGCUGCUGCCUAUUGUUUACAAGAACGCGUGAACACACACAUACACAUUGGACACACUCAGGCUCACGUACGCCGCACACAACUAAAGAGGAGGCUUAUUGUUUGUGUGUGUGUGGGAACAUACAACGCAGGUGUGAGCUGGUCUGUGAUCAGCUGUCUGGACUUUUUUGCAAAACCGACUCCAAACGAACACGAAACGCA